AUGCAAAAAAACCCCACCAGCUGUGUAAGAAAUGAAUUUUUAAUUUUCUCCUCAGGGAAAUUGCUCCAGCACUGGAAGGUUGGCUGGAUUCUCAUCCCCCUGGAGCUGUUCCAGUGUUCACAUCACUGCUGCCAGUGCCAUUGCUGUGGAUGGUGUGACUAUGAAAUUUGGUUGGGUAAUUGCAGGAAGAUUGAGAUGCCCACAAUUGCACACGGUGUCUGCCUGUCCAGUGAAUGCAGAAUUUGGAAUUUCCAGCUGCUGUGAAGAUCAAAGCAACCACGCUGGUUAUUUCUGGGCUUGCAGUGAGAUGCACUGCAGGGAAAUGUGCUUUAAGGUUGCUGCUUCUCGUAGGAAAGAACACAGCACUUGGAAUGAAGUCUUCCCAGGAAAAAAAAAAUAAAUUAAAAUAUAAAUCUG
rnacentral:lncRNA from 1 species